CGGGGUAUAGCGCAGUCUGGUAGCGCGCACCCUUGGGGUGGGUGAGGCCGCAGGUUCAAAUCCUGUUACUCCGA
rnacentral:tRNA from 2 species